GGCCCGAUGGUCUAGUGGUAUGAUUUUCCCUUAGGGUUGAUUCUCCUCUGAAUCAUGAUUUGGGAGAGGUCCCGGGUUCAAUCCCCGGUCGGGCCC